rnacentral:rRNA from 1 species
GACGAACGCUGGCGGCGUGCUUAACACAUGCAAGUCGAACGGUAAGGCCUUCGGGUACACGAGUGGCGAACGGGUGAGUAACACGUGGGUGAUCUGCCCCCUACUCUGGGAUAAGCCUGGGAAACUGGGUCUAAUACCGGAUAUGACCAACUUCUGCAUGGUUGUUGGUGGAAAGUUUUUUCGGUAGGGGAUGAGCCCGCGGCCUAUCAGCUUGUUGGUGGGGUAAUGGCCUACCAAGGCGACGACGGGUAGCCGGCCUGAGAGGGUGACCGGCCACACUGGGACUGAGACACGGCCCAGACUCCUACGGGAGGCAGCAGUGGGGAAUAUUGCACAAUGGGCGAAAGCCUGAUGCAGCGACGCCGCGUGGGGGAUGACGGCCUUCGGGUUGUAAACCCCUUUCAGUCGGGACGAAGCGCAAGUGACGGUACCGAUAGAAGAAGCACCGGCCAACUACGUGCCAGCAGCCGCCGUAACAC